rnacentral:rRNA from 1 species
CGUUCUCAGUUCGGAUCGGAGUCUGCAACCCGACUCCGUGAAGCUGGAUUCGCUAGUAAUCGCGCAUCAGCCAUGGCGCGGUGAAUACGUUCCCGGGCCUUGUACACACCGCCCGUCACACCAUGGGAGUCAGUAACGCCCGAAGCCGGUGACCCAACCGAAAGGAGGGAGCCGUCGAAGGUGGGACCGAUAACUGGGGUGAAGUCGUAACAAGGUAUC